CAAAGAAGUAUUCGGCUAGUUGCCUACUUUCUACUCUAGGCGUACAUGGUCUUUAGUAUACUUGUUAUACUUUUACUCAACAUGUACUUUUUAUUAAUGGUAAGUCUAGUAAAUUGUCGUAAAAAUAGUUUGGAGUAUUUCAUUCAAAAUGAUUGAUGAACAGACGUCUUUGGGGUCACUUGAUCAAUCAUAAGGAUAAUUCAGUUGAGACUUUCUGUAAGUGUGAAUAUCAACAUGAAAUGCAGUUGCGGUCAAAUGAGUGAUUGAAUCCGCAUGUUGAGGCACUCUUGGCGGUCAAUUCUGGCUCGUCUCCCCGGCCCAGCUGCCUGAAGGGCGGCCCCGCUUCAUGGCUGCCACCGGCCGCCCGCCCCGUGGGUGUGUUUAGACAAAAAUGGACCAGGCAUCCACCUGCUCGCGCGCGCCCUCCCGUCACACCCUACUUUCAACACCGUCACCGCGGGCUGAUCAUCUUCACUCCGCGAGGACUUUUUCGUGUUUCUUUUUAAUUCAUUCACUCUGUUUGAUUCUGGUUUCCUCUCAUUCAUGUUAACGGUCGACACUGACGCUCCCCGCUGACUCAUUGUGUUGAACGAGCCUCUUUUUCGGUUGGCAGUGAUUUCUUUUUCUUUUUUUCUUUUCUUCUUGACACAAGUGUGAAGCGAGCGCGCACGCGGCAGGUACGGACCGCCCCACCCCUCAAAGAAAAAAAAAAGCAUGUAAAAGCCGCGCGGGGGUUUCUGUCACAAUUAUUUGUGAACUUAGAGACGGAGUGCCUCCUUCUUCUGUUGGAAUUUUAUGUUUGGAUCCGAGUUUAUAUUCGAAAAACAGAGUUAUAGAAGGUAAACAACUCUUAGUAUAUCUGGAGGUUUUUCCACUAUGGAUCUGGAAGCUCUGAGGACGCUCCAUGCCCUCCUGGUGCUGUCUGGUUUGGCUCUUGGGAAUCAGUGGAGCAAUGAGGUUCUGGCUGCACCCAGGGUCUUUAUUUCCUUCAAAGAACUAAGAUCUUCGGGAACCGCUCAUCAGUUUGCCUACUUGAUCAACACAUCCGACUUCCGGAUCCUGCGUAUGGAUGAGGACCAUGACCACAUGUAUGUUGGCAGCAAGGACCACAUCCUGUCCCUGGACCUUCAUGAUGUCAACAGGAACCCACGUAUUAUCCAUUGGCCUGUGUCUGAACGAAGGAGGAUGGAAUGUCUCGUAAGUGGAAAAGAUGCCUUUGACGAAUGUGCAAACUUCAUUCGUCUCAUUGAACCGUGGAAUCGAACCCAUCUGUACGUCUGUGGAACAGGCGCUUACAAUCCAGUGUGUACCUUUGCCAACCGUGGACACAAAACCCAGACAUCCAUGUAUCUGCAGAUGGCACAGGCCAAAGGAAGGGCUAGCCGUGCAGCUGAGCCCAGUGCUGUGCACGAGACACUCGGACUGAAGGAAGAAAUUUUCCAUUUGGAGCCAGGCACAGUGGAAUCUGGGAAGGGAAAGUGCUCAUACGACCCGAAGCUCAACAGUGUGUCAGCUUUAAUCAAUGGUGAACUGUAUGCUGGCGUCUAUGUUGACUUCAUGGGAACGGAUUCCGCCAUCUUCCGUACUUUGGGGACAAAGACCGCCAUGCGAACGGAUCAGUACAACUCCAGAUGGUUAAAUGACCCCACGUUCAUCCAUGUUCACCUCAUUCCAGAUAGCGCAGAGAAAAACGAUGACAAGCUUUAUUUUUUCUUCCGAGAGAAGUCCUCAGACAUGGGCCAGAGUCCCGUCACUCAGUCUCGGAUUGGACGCAUCUGUCUGAACGACGAUGGAGGUCACUGCUGUCUGGUCAACAAGUGGAGCACCUUCCUGAAGGCCCGGCUCAUCUGCUCUGUGCCUGGAGCUGACGGCACGGAAACGCACUUUGAUGAGCUCCGUGACGUUUACAUCCAGCCCACGCAGGACACCAAAAACCCAGUCAUUUACGGUGUCUUUUCUGUCUCUGGGUCUGUGUUCAAGGGAUCGGCUGUUUGCGUGUACUCUAUGGCUGACAUUCGCAUGGUCUUCAAUGGACCCUUUGCUCACAAGGAGGGGCCCAGUUACCAGUGGGUGUCUUAUACUGGGAAGAUUCCUUACCCCCGACCAGGCACAUGCCCUGGAGGUACGUUCACCCCCAACAUGAAGUCCACAAAGGAUUACCCAGAUGAAGUCAUUAACUUCAUGAGGAAUCAUCCCGCCAUGAACAAUGCUGUGUACCCAGUACACAAGCGCCCACUAGUGGUCCGUACCAAAGUGGACUAUGAGUUCACCACCAUUGCAGUGGACCAGGUGGCGGCUGCAGAUGGCAACUAUGAGGUGCUCUUCUUAGGAACCGACAAGGGAACAGUUCAGAAACUGAUUGUGCUGCCCAAAGAUGACCUGCAGACGGAGGAACUGGUUCUGGAGGAGGUGGAGGUUUUCAAGGUCCCGACUCCAAUAACGACAAUGAAGAUCUCAUCCAAAAGGCAACAGUUGUAUGUGUCGUCUGCUGUGGGGCUGACCCAGCUGGCGCUUCAUCGCUGUGACAUGUACGGCGAAGCCUGCGCCGAUUGCUGUCUGGCUCGAGAUCCUUAUUGCGCCUGGGAUGGAAAGUCCUGUUCACGGUAUUCCACCUCUCAAAAGAGUCGGGUUCUGAAGACGGAACAGGGGCUGCUCUUGCGCUCUCUGCAGCUUUCGGACUCCGGCUUGUACCAAUGCACAGCCACAGAGAAGAACUUUAAACACACGCUGGUCAAGCUGCAGCUGGUGGUGCUGUCGAAUCGGGCCAUCAACAACGCUCUGGUAGAUGGCGGUGGGGGGCUAGCGUCUCUGCACGCCAAUGCAGGCCAGUACAAGGACUUGCUGACCAUUUUGACCCAGCCAGAAAUGAGCCUGAUCAAUCAGUACUGUCAGGACUACUGGCAGUUUGGAGACCCUCUGCUGGGCGCCCUCAAGCCUAAAGACCUGAGGGAGCUGAAGGAGCAGAAGAAGCCUCGCAAUCGCCGGCAUCAUCAGAGCGGCAGGGAGGGAAAGGAGCACCAGGAAGCAGAGACAUGA
ensembl:lncRNA